AGUUUUAACUGUUGGCAAAAAGUCCAGAUUAAAAGGAGAUAAAGUUAUAAAAAUAAGCAAGUCCUUACACACUCAUGACAUAAAAUAAUUUCAUACAUGUUUAAUCAGUAGAACCAAAAAUAAUUACAUUGUGUUUAUUCUUUUACCGUCUUCUGUUCAUUUUCUUGGGAUUUACUACGUGGAAGGAAUCUGCCACCGUUAGAAGUCUUGAUCUCCCAUUUUGAACAGAUGGCAAUUAAUAAAAAAUAGAUGCCUACCAUAAUUAAAGAUGGGAGCCCUGGAACUAAUUUCUAAUAAAAAUAACCUUUUGAUAUUCAUCUCUGAUAAAAAACAGAGUGUGUUCUAGUGACUAAGAUUGAUCUUCCAUUGCAGGCUAUAAUGGAAGUGUCAAAUUCAUGAGCGUAUAGUAAGGUGGGAUGGUAGCUGGUUAGAAAACCAUUACCAAUGAGUGCUGAAAAACCAAUCCUCCAAAGAGAGCCAUUCAUUACGUCCAGAAUGAGUGGCAUACAGGUAUCGGUGUAUUCUUGCAAUACAGAAAUAUCUGGAGAAUAUUGCUCAAAACGGAGCAUUGUAUUUUAAUGGGGUAUCAUAGUGACCAAAUGGGUGCAACCAGAAAAAAAAAGUUUAAAAUCCUCAAAUUAGAUGGGUAAAACAAUUUAGGAGAGAGAAUCUGGAAACGAAGAUAUAAUG